rnacentral:rRNA from 1 species
ACAUCCAGAGAACUUGGCAGAGAUGCCUUGGUGCCUUCGGGAACUCUGAGACAGGUGCUGCAUGGCUGUCGUCAGCUCGUGUUGUGAAAUGUUGGGUUAAGUCCCGNAACGAGCGCAACCCCUAUCCUUUGUUGCCAGCGAUUCGGUCGGGAACUCAAAGGAGACUGCCGGUGAUAAACCGGAGGAAGGUGGGGAUGACGUCAAGUCAUCAUGGCCCUUACGAGUAGGGCUACACACGUGCUACAAUGGCGCAUACAAAGAGAAGCGACCUCGCGAGAGCAAGCGGACCUCAUAAAGUGCGUCGUAGUCCGGAUCGGAGUCUGCAACUCGACUCCGUGAAGUCGGAAUCGCUAGUAAUCGUAGAUCAGAAUGCUACGGUGAAUACGUUCCCGGGCCUUGUACACACCGCCCGUCACACCAUGGGAGUGGGUUGCAAAAGAAGUAGAUAGCUUAACCUUCGGGAGGGCGUUUACCACUUUGUGAUUCAUGACUGGGGUGAAGUCGUAACAAGGUAGGCGUAGCGAG